ACGCACGCUGGCGGCGUGCUUAACACAUGCCAGUCGAACGGAAAGGCCCUGCUUUUGUGGGGUGCUCGAGUGGCGAACGGGUGAGUAACACGUGAGUAACCUGCCCUUGACUUUGGGAUAACUUCAGGAAACUGGGGCUAAUACCGGAUAGGAGCUCCUGCUGCAUGGUGGGGGUUGGAAAGUUUCGGCGGUUGGGGAUGGACUCGCGGCUUAUCAGCUUGUUGGUGGGGUAGUGGCUUACCAAGGCUUUGACGGGUAGCCGGCCUGAGAGGGUGACCGGCCACAUUGGGACUGAGAUACGGCCCAGACUCCUACGGGAGGCAGCAGUGGGGAAUAUUGCACAAUGGGCGGAAGCCUGAUGCAGCAACGCCGCGUGCGGGAUGACGGCCUUCGGGUUGUAAACCGCUUUCGCCUGUGACGAAGCGUGAGUGACGGUAAUGGGUAAAGAAGCACCGGCUAACUACGU
rnacentral:rRNA from 1 species